rnacentral:rRNA from 1 species
GAUGAACGCUGGCGGCGUGCCUAAUACAUGCAAGUCGAGCGAACGGACGAGAAGCUUGCUUCUCCGAUGUUAGCGGCGGACGGGUGAGUAACACGUGGAUAACCUACCUAUAAGACUGGGAUAACUUCGGGAAACCGGAGCUAAUACCGGAUAAUAUUUUGAACCGCAUGGUUCAAAAGUGAAAGACGGUCUUGCUGUCACUUAUAGAUGGAUCCGCGCUGCAUUAGCUAGUUGGUAAGGUAACGGCUUACCAAGGCAACGAUGCAUAGCCGACCUGAGAGGGUGAUCGGCCACACUGGAACUGAGACACGGUCCAGACUCCUACGGGAGGCAGCAGUAGGGAAUCUUCCGCAAUGGGCGAAAGCCUGACGGAGCAACGCCGCGUGAGUGAUGAAGGUCUUCGGAUCGUAAAACUCUGUUAUUAGGGAAGAACAUAUGUGUAAGUAACUGUGCACAUCUUGACGGUACCUAAUCAGAAAGCCACGGCUAACUACGUGCCAGCAGCCGCGGUAAUACGUAGGUGGCAAGCGUUAUCCGGAAUUAUUGGGCGUAAAGCGCGCGUAGGCGGUUUUUUAAGUCUGAUGUGAAAGCCCACGGCUCAACCGUGGAGGGUCAUUGGAAACUGGAAAACUUGAGUGCAGAAGAGGAAAGUGGAAUUCCAUGUGUAGCGGUGAAAUGCGCAGAGAUAUGGAGGAACACCAGUGGCGAAGGCGACUUUCUGGUCUGUAACUGACGCUGAUGUGCGAAAGCGUGGGGAUCAAACAGGAUUAGAUACCCUGGUAGUCCACGCCGUAAACGAUGAGUGCUAAGUGUUAGGGGGUUUCCGCCCCUUAGUGCUGCAGCUAACGCAUUAAGCACUCCGCCUGGGGAGUACGACCGCAAGGUUGAAACUCAAAGGAAUUGACGGGGACCCGCACAAGCGGUGGAGCAUGUGGUUUAAUUCGAAGCAACGCGAAGAACCUUACCAAAUCUUGACAUCCUUUGACAACUCUAGAGAUAGAGCUUUCCCCUUCGGGGGACAAAGUGACAGGUGGUGCAUGGUUGUCGUCAGCUCGUGUCGUGAGAUGUUGGGUUAAGUCCCGCAACGAGCGCAACCCUUAAGCUUAGUUGCCAUCAUUAAGUUGGGCACUCUAAGUUGACUGCCGGUGACAAACCGGAGGAAGGUGGGGAUGACGUCAAAUCAUCAUGCCCCUUAUGAUUUGGGCUACACACGUGCUACAAUGGACAAUACAAAGGGCAGCGAAACCGCGAGGUCAAGCAAAUCCCAUAAAGUUGUUCUCAGUUCGGAUUGUAGUCUGCAACUCGACUACAUGAAGCUGGAAUCGCUAGUAAUCGUAGAUCAGCAUGCUACGGUGAAUACGUUCCCGGGUCU